ACUAGUAAUGUAUUUGGAGGUAAGUCCCAAACGGUUGGCAAGAAAGAAGAAGGCAAUACUGAUCAAAAGAAGAAGAAGAAAGAAGAUGAAGGUGACAUGGAAGAAUCUACUAUGUUCAUUAACAGUAAUGUACAAGGAGUGAACAACUCGAUUUUAGACGAAUCGAGUUUCACCGAUCAUGAUCCUGGUUUCCAUAUCUUCUUCUCAACAGAUUAAUUAUAGAUACAAUGUGUUCUUGGUGAAACGCAAGCAUAUGAAGUUCGG
rnacentral:misc_RNA from 1 species